UCUUCCCAGCUCAGACACAGCAAAGGAGCCUAGAACCUGGGUCCUAGAUUAUACCUGGAAUAUGAGGCAGGUGGCAAGAGUGAUUGUGCUCCUAAUCCUGGGUUCUCUGAGCCUUGCUAAGACCACCCAGCCCAUCGCCAUGGAAUCAUAUGAAGGACAAGAAGUGAACAUACCCUGUAGCCACACAGACAUUGCUACGAAUGAAUAUAUUGUCUGGUACCAACAGUUCCCCAACCAGGGACCACGAUUUAUUAUUCAAGGAUUUAAGACAAAUGUGACAAAUGAAGUGGCAUCUCUGUUUAUCCCUGCCGACAGAAAGUCGAGCACCCUGAGGCUGCCCCGGGCUGCCCUGAGUGACAGUGCUGUGUACUACUGCAUCCUGGAUGACACACAGUGCGACAGCUGGGUCUGCACCUGCACAUUUGGCUAUAGAGAUUCUUCAUUUGCUGAUGUCUAUGUGUGUGAAGAAGCGAAGCUUGAACUGGAUAAAGAAUUAGCAUUUGACUUAGGUAGAAAAAUAAGCUUUUUAAUACAUGAUAGUGAGACUCACUUAGCAUUUGAAAUUGUUGUAAAGUAA